CUACCCUUGACAUGGCAGGAAUCCUAAAGAGAUUUGGGAGUGCUCGAAAGAGAGCCGUAACACAGGUGCUGUAUGGCUGUCGUCAGCUCGUGUCGUGAGAUGUUGGGUUAAGUCCCGCAACGAGCGCAACCCUUGCCAUUAGUUGCUACGAAAGGGCACUCUAAUGGGACUGCCGGUGACAAACCGGAGGAAGGUGGGGAUGACGUCAAGUCCUCAUGGCCCUUAUAGGUGGGGCUACACACGUCAUACAAUGGCUGGUACAAAGGGUUGCCAACCCGCGAGGGGGAGCUAAUCCCAGAAAACGCAUCGUAGUCCGGAUCGUAGUCUGCAACUCGACUACGUGAAGCUGGAAUCGCUAGUAAUCGCGGAUCAGCAUGCCGCGGUGAAUACGUUCCC
rnacentral:rRNA from 1 species